rnacentral:rRNA from 1 species
GGUUAAGCGACUAAGCGUACACGGUGGAUGCCCUGGCAGUCAGAGGCGAUGAAGGACGUGCUAAUCUGCGAUAAGCGUCGGUAAGGUGAUAUGAACCGUUAUAACCGGCGAUUUCCGAAUGGGGAAACCCAGUGUGUUUCGACACACUAUCAUUAACUGAAUCCAUAGGUUAAUGAGGCGAACCGGGGGAACUGAAACAUCUAAGUACCCCGAGGAAAAGAAAUCAACCGAGAUUCCCCCAGUAGCGGCGAGCGAACGGGGAGCAGCCCAGAGCCUGAAUCAGUGUGUGUGUUAGUGGAAGCGUCUGGAAAGGCGCGCGAUACAGGGUGACAGCCCCGUACACAAAAAUGCACAUGCUGUGAGCUCGAUGAGUAGGGCGGGACACGUGGUAUCCUGUCUGAAUAUGGGGGGACCAUCCUCCAAGGCUAAAUACUCCUGACUGACCGAUAGUGAACCAGUACCGUGAGGGAAAGGCGAAAAGAACCCCGGCGAGGGGAGUGAAAAAGAACCUGAAACCGUGUACGUACAAGCAGUGGGAGCACGCUUAGGCGUGUGACUGCGUACCUUUUGUAUAAUGGGUCAGCGACUUAUAUUCUGUAGCAAGGUUAACCGAAUAGGGGAGCCGAAGGGAAACCGAGUCUUAACUGGGCGUUAAGUUGCAGGGUAUAGACCCGAAACCCGGUGAUCUAGCCAUGGGCAGGUUGAAGGUUGGGUAACACUAACUGGAGGACCGAACCGACUAAUGUUGAAAAAUUAGCGGAUGACUUGUGGCUGGGGGUGAAAGGCCAAUCAAACCGGGAGAUAGCUGGUUCUCCCCGAAAGCUAUUUAGGUAGCGCCUCGUGAAUUCAUCUCCGGGGGUAGAGCACUGUUUCGGCAAGGGGGUCAUCCCGACUUACCAACCCGAUGCAAACUGCGAAUACCGGAGAAUGUUAUCACGGGAGACACACGGCGGGUGCUAACGUCCGUCGUGAAGAGGGAAACAACCCAGACCGCCAGCUAAGGUCCCAAAGUCAUGGUUAAGUGGGAAACGAUGUGGGAAGGCCCAGACAGCCAGGAUGUUGGCUUAGAAGCAGCCAUCAUUUAAAGAAAGCGUAAUAGCUCACUGGUCGAGUCGGCCUGCGCGGAAGAUGUAACGGGGCUAAACCAUGCACCGAAGCUGCGGCAGCGACGCUUAUGCGUUGUUGGGUAGGGGAGCGUUCUGUAAGCCUGUGAAGGUGUGCUGUGAGGCAUGCUGGAGGUAUCAGAAGUGCGAAUGCUGACAUAAGUAACGAUAAAGCGGGUGAAAAGCCCGCUCGCCGGAAGACCAAGGGUUCCUGUCCAACGUUAAUCGGGGCAGGGUGAGUCGACCCCUAAGGCGAGGCCGAAAGGCGUAGUCGAUGGGAAACAGGUUAAUAUUCCUGUACUUGGUGUUACUGCGAAGGGGGGACGGAGAAGGCUAUGUUGGCCGGGCGACGGUUGUCCCGGUUUAAGCGUGUAGGCUGGUUUUCCAGGCAAAUCCGGAAAAUCAAGGCUGAGGCGUGAUGACGAGGCACUACGGUGCUGAAGCAACAAAUGCCCUGCUUCCAGGAAAAGCCUCUAAGCAUCAGGUAACAUCAAAUCGUACCCCAAACCGACACAGGUGGUCAGGUAGAGAAUACCAAGGCGCUUGAGAGAACUCGGGUGAAGGAACUAGGCAAAAUGGUGCCGUAACUUCGGGAGAAGGCACGCUGAUAUGUAGGUGAAGUCCCUCGCGGAUGGAGCUGAAAUCAGUCGAAGAUACCAGCUGGCUGCAACUGUUUAUUAAAAACACAGCACUGUGCAAACACGAAAGUGGACGUAUACGGUGUGACGCCUGCCCGGUGCCGGAAGGUUAAUUGAUGGGGUCAGCGCAAGCGAAGCUCUUGAUCGAAGCCCCGGUAAACGGCGGCCGUAACUAUAACGGUCCUAAGGUAGCGAAAUUCCUUGUCGGGUAAGUUCCGACCUGCACGAAUGGCGUAAUGAUGGCCAGGCUGUCUCCACCCGAGACUCAGUGAAAUUGAACUCGCUGUGAAGAUGCAGUGUACCCGCGGCAAGACGGAAAGACCCCGUGAACCUUUACUAUAGCUUGACACUGAACAUUGAGCCUUGAUGUGUAGGAUAGGUGGGAGGCUUUGAAGUGUGGACGCCAGUCUGCAUGGAGCCGACCUUGAAAUACCACCCUUUAAUGUUUGAUGUUCUAACGUUGACCCGUGAUCCGGGUUGCGGACAGUGUCUGGUGGGUAGUUUGACUGGGGCGGUCUCCUCCUAAAGAGUAACGGAGGAGCACGAAGGUUGGCUAAUCCUGGUCGGACAUCAGGAGGUUAGUGCAAUGGCAUAAGCCAGCUUGACUGCGAGCGUGACGGCGCGAGCAGGUGCGAAAGCAGGUCAUAGUGAUCCGGUGGUUCUGAAUGGAAGGGCCAUCGCUCAACGGAUAAAAGGUACUCCGGGGAUAACAGGCUGAUACCGCCCAAGAGUUCAUAUCGACGGCGGUGUUUGGCACCUCGAUGUCGGCUCAUCACAUCCUGGGGCUGAAGUAGGUCCCAAGGGUAUGGCUGUUCGCCAUUUAAAGUGGUACGCGAGCUGGGUUUAGAACGUCGUGAGACAGUUCGGUCCCUAUCUGCCGUGGGCGCUGGAGAAUUGAGGGGGGCUGCUCCUAGUACGAGAGGACCGGAGUGGACGCAUCACUGGUGUUCGGGUUGUCAUGCCAAUGGCACUGCCCGGUAGCUAAAUGCGGAAGAGAUAAGUGCUGAAAGCAUCUAAGCACGAAACUUGCCCCGAGAUGAGUUCUCCCUGACCCUUUAAGGGUCCUGAAGGAACGUUGAAGACGACGACGUUGAUAGGCCGGGUGUGUAAGCGCAGCGAUGCGUUGAGCUAACCGGUACUAAUGAACCGUGAGGCUUAACCUU